UUAAAAUAAAAACACAUGAACCGAAAUACCUCUUAGUAAAAUGAUUGGCAAAGGUCUCGACAACCAGGGUUCUUCCAUUACCUGAAGCGGUCGGGAUUUCUUCCUUCUCUGCCACAUCUAGGCUAUUUGUGAGUACUCCUAUUCAGUGGAGUACCCGAGACUUUUUUUACCGAUUAUAAACUGCCGUAGUGUUAAAUUGAUCACCAGCCUCUAUCAAGUUCCAAGACUAAUAAUGCUUGGGGCUUUACUGUGACCAUUACCACGUCUUCAUUGCGUGAUGCUUCGGUACUGGCGCAACUGUAUGUACCCUUAUUUAAAUAUAAAUUAACAUGACGUACUACAUGCAGUAAAAAUUAAUGAAACCACGUAGAAACAACUUUCGCUCUCGUAGACCUUGGAACUCACAUGAUCAAAGGUGACGGAGAGGCUACUGUAAGAGACGCCAAACACGUGUGGUUUCAGGAGAGCGUUAUGUAGCAUCAAAUUGUAUGUGAAUUAUGAAUUGGUAAAGAAGCAGAAGAGCAGUCCCAUCAGUUGCCUGGUAGGACUGAGCAAAACCAGAUUAAACUUCUGUCACUAUAGCUGGUAUCUGGGAUCUGAAGUGCACUAAUCACUCAGUCAAGAUAUUCGGUUGGAAAAUGGAAUUUUGCUCCUUAGAAUGAGGUCUGACCUUCUCAAUUGUUGUCGAUAAAGAAAACAACUACAUUAUGGAGAGAUAUGACAAUGAGAUACAGUGUAUCUCAGACAUGGUCUUCUAUAAAUCCAGUAACACUGUAAGAAACUCGUUCCAGAUGUAGAAGAUGAUUUACAAUGUUUUCCUAAUGAAGAAAUCAGGGAGUCUGAAUUCUUGCAAUGGUAUGUACUAUGAGAAGUUCAGAAGAUGUCUACAAAGAUGACAUUGAAUUAUAGGUGACAAGAGUGAUGCAUGGAUUAUCCCUGCUUUAAUUUAUUCACGUCUUCUCCCCUUUAUUAGCCUGGAUAAGUGAGAGUUUACCAUUUAUCCUUUGUAAAUUUUACUAUCUCAGUUAAAAAAAUGUAUGCUUAACAUGAGAACAAAAUUAAUAGUCUAUUAACAGCAACUUUUAUAGUAAUACAGAUCACAAAAGAAAAACUGGUGUUUCAAUUUUACAUAACUCUAAACAAGUUGCCCCAUUAAAAUGAACCAUGUUGUAUCAUAUUAAAUACAACAGGGUGCAUAAUAUAUACUGUUGUAGAGAUAAACAUUCACAAUUGUAAUCACAUAUCAUAUCACACAAAUCAGAGCAGUUAUGCUCAUAAAAAAUAUUCAGGACUACAGUAUGUCUGACAAAUUAAUAUGUAAUUAGAAAAUAAAAUAAUACAUGAUGAAUCACAGAAUUAAAACUUUAAUAAACAUACUAUUCAAACAAGUUCUAAAUGAGCAAGUCUAACGAAAUAUUACAGAAAACUAAACUUUGUGGAGACCAACAUGAAUGCUAAAUAUGAUUUACUUCACGAAGAGGAGUAUCAGUGAUUCGGAAUGCACACUGCUUUAUUAUUAUAUACUGUUGGUGAUGUGGAAAAAUCAUCUAACAUUUUAAUUAAAAUUACUCAAGUAGCACAUCAAAGUGAUAUUGUUCAGAAGCACGUGUAAAAGAUGUUACUAACUGAUAUCUUAACAUAUUACCAUAUAAACAGUUUAAUAAUUCAUUAGGCGUCAUUUAGAUACAGCUAUAAGAACUUAAAACUAAUUUUUCUAAAAACCAUUUAAAAUGCAGUUAGUGACUUACAUGACACAAAUUAUAUGCAAAUAAUCUUUCCUAAACUGCACAGGGACCAUCACCUUCUUACAGUUACCAUCUGCUUGAAUUCUGUAGUAACUAUGAUGAAAAUUGUACCAGCAUGUAAUUAAAUCUGAAAUACAAAAUUGCAGUGCAACAUCUAA